rnacentral:rRNA from 1 species
CAGAGACUGCAAGCGUUAUUCGGAUUCACUGGGCGUAAAGGGUGCGCAGGCGGCCAAGUGUGUGAGGCGUGAAAGCCCGAUGCUUAACAUCGGAAUUGCACCUCAAACUACAUGGCUAGAGCAUUGGAGAGGGUAGCAGAAUUCAUGGUGUAGCAGUGAAAUGCGUAGAUAUCAUGAGGAAUACCAGAGGCGAAGGCGGCUACCUGGACAAUUGCUGACGCUCAGGCACGAAAGCGUGGGGAGCAAAAGGGAUUAGAUACCCCUGUAGUCCACGCCCUAAACGGUGCACACUAGGUCUUGGCGGAUUCGACCCCAUCAGGGCCCAAGCUAACGCGUUAAGUGUGCCGCCUGAGGACUACGGCCGCAAGGCUA